rnacentral:lncRNA from 1 species
UUAUUUAGAGAUUGUUUGAUUACAUAUAACUGUAACUAUAUUAUAAUUAAAGCCUGUUUAGGAUACUAUUGAUAGUACUAAUUAAGAAUUUUGUGCUAUCCAUUUUUUGACCAUUAAAUCUACACUUUGAUCAAUUUCAUUUUUUAAAUUAUGCUAUUCUACUAAUCACCUACUAAAUCCUAGAAAGAGCUACUAAAUCCUAUAAGAGGCCACUAUCAUUUCAAUCCUAUAAUUUUAAGAAAAAGCUAUGCUUGGAUAACUAAAAAAUAUAACAUAGUUACACUCGCGAUUAAAACGCGAAUGAUACGCGAAUUUUAAAAAUUACGUAUUAAACGUUCCGUUCCGUAUUUUUCCAAAAAGUUCGAAAAAAAACACGAUUUCUUCCUUAAAAAAAACUUGUUUGCGAAUUAUUCGCGAUUCGCGAAUGAUUCGACCAAAAAAACGGUGCUCGCGGUCGCGGAUUC